GUGGGGAAUCUUGCGCAAUGGGCGAAAGCCUGACGCAGCCAUGCCGCGUGAAUGAUGAAGGUCUUAGGAUUGUAAAAUUCUUUCACCGGGGACGAUAAUGACGGUACCCGGAGAAGAAGCUCCGGCUAACUUCGUGCCAGCAGCCGCGGUAAUACGAAGGGGGCUAGCGUUGCUCGGAAUUACUGGGCGUAAAGGGCGCGUAGGCGGACAGCUUAGUCAGAGGUGAAAACCCAGGGCUCAACCUUGGAAUUGCCUUUGAUACUGGCUGUCUUGAGUUUGGGAGAGGUGAGUGGAACUCCGCGUGUAGAGGUGAAAUUCGUAGAUAUUCGGAAGAACACCAGUGGCGAAGGCGACUCACUGGCCCAAUACUGACGCUGAGGCGCGAAAGCGUGGGGAGCAAACAGGAUUAGAAACCCGUGUAGUCC
rnacentral:rRNA from 1 species